rnacentral:lncRNA from 1 species
AAGUUCAUAUGUCUAAACAUAUGAAAAAUAUCAGUGUGAGCAAAAAAAAAACAAUAAAUGUAUUGAGUUAAACCACAAUUCACAGAAUACCAGAAAUUCUGGAAAUACUGCCCAAAACUCAGAAUACAGAUCAAAAAAUGAUCAAAUGAAUCCAGGACAGUAUGAAUUAUAUGAUUCACUAAUUCAUACACCUAGUCAUGAUUCUGUUGAGUUAAAUCAUAACUCACAAAAUAUCAAAAAUUCUGAAUAUAAUAAAAAAAAUUCAGUAAAUGUUCAGAAUGAUCAAACUUCCCUCUAUUCUGAAAAUUUUCAGAAUGAUGACAUAAGAUCAUCAGAUAUAGGACUAAUUCAUACACCUAGUCAUGAUUCUGUUGAGUUAAAUC